rnacentral:rRNA from 1 species
AGAUUGAACGCUGGCGGCAGGCCUAACACAUGCAAGUCGAGCGGCAGCACGGGUACUUGUACCUGGUGGCGAGCGGCGGACGGGUGAGUAAUGCCUAGGAAUCUGCCUGGUAGUGGGGGAUAACGCUCGGAAACGGACGCUAAUACCGCAUACGUCCUACGGGAGAAAGCGAGGGGACCUUCGGGCCUUGCGCUACCAGAUGAGCCUAGGUCGGAUUAGCUAGUUGGUGAGGUAUGGCUCAACCGAAGGCGACGACUACCGUAACGUGGUCUGAGGAGAUGAUCGAGUACCACUACGUA